AAAAAGGCAAACCCUGGGUUUCCGUGCCAACGUUUGACUAUCUGUCUUAUAUGAAAUUUUUUUGAUAAUUACUAUUUUUAUUGUUGUUAGAUGAUAAAACAUGAUUAAUACUUUAUGCGUGACUUAUCUUUUUAAUUUUUUUUAUAAUUUUUUCAAAUAAGAUGGACGGUUAAAUAUUGGACACGGAAAUCAAGGUUUGUCUUUUUU
rfam:Oryza rufipogon genomic scaffold, chr05